rnacentral:rRNA from 1 species
GGCGUAAGCGCGCGCAGGUGGUUUCUUAAGUCUGAUGUGAAAGCCCACGGCUCAACCGUGGAGGGUCAUUGGAAACUGGGAGACUUGAGUGCAGAAGAGGAAAGUGGAAUUCCAUGUGUAGCGGUGAAAUGCGUAGAGAUAUGGAGGAACACCAGUGGCGAAGGCGACUUUCUGGUCUGCAACUGACACUGAGGCGCGAAAGCGUGGGGAGCAAACAGGAUUAAAUCCCCUGGUAGUCCCCGCCGUAAACGAUGAGUGCUAGGUGUUAGAGGUUUUCCCCCCUU